AUCUAAACAAGGCAAUAAAGCGAAGUGCAAAGCAAACAAAAGUGGUUCAUCAGCCGCUCUUUGAUUUCUCCGCCCCAUUCUUCUGCCUUCACAUUUUUCUCCUAACUCCCAACGGACUCCUCGAGGUCCCACUGUCUCUUAUAACCUCUUUCUCAGAUCUCUUCCUUUUUCUCUGUAUCUUCACUUCGCCAUUUCCACAUUUCCACAAUGCACUCCUCACUAUCCCUCUCAUUCUCUUCCAGCUCCUCUGCCGCCACCGUUUUCAGAUCGCGCCACUCUUCUCCUGCCACCGCUGCCAUACCUCUCAAUCUCCACUUCUGCGGCUUGAGGCGCGAGGCUUUAGGUUUAGAUUUAGGUUUCACUGCUUCUUUCAAUCGCCACCGUUCGCAGCUUCCUCGCCGUCCUCACUCUGCCUCUGUUUCGGCUGCGCUCUCUGACAAUGGUAGUCCUUCCAAAUCCUUUGACUAUGACUUGUUGAUUAUUGGUGCCGGCGUUGGCGGCCACGGUGCCGCGCUUCAUGCCGUUGAGAAGGGUUUGAAAACAGCCAUUGUAGAGGGAGAUGUGGUGGGAGGAACAUGUGUGAACAGAGGAUGUGUUCCUUCGAAAGCUCUUUUGGCUGUUAGUGGUCGUAUGCGAGAACUAAAGAGCGAUCAUCACUUGAAGUCCUUUGGCUUACAGGUUUCUGCUGCUGGGUAUGACAGACAAGGAGUCGCUGAUCAUGCUAAUAAUCUUGCUUCGAAAAUCCGUAGUAAUUUGACCAACUCACUAAAAGCGCUUGGAGUAGACAUACUUACGGGUUAUGGAACUAUUUUGGGUCCUCAGAAGGUGCAAGUUGGCUCUUCAAAUAGCAUAGUAACUGCUAAAGAUAUCAUCAUUGCUACUGGUUCUGUUCCUUUUGUUCCUAAGGGCAUUGAAAUUGAUGGGAAGACUGUGAUUACCAGUGACCAUGCACUCAAACUGGAGUCUGUUCCUGAUUGGAUAGCAAUUGUGGGAAGUGGUUAUAUUGGGCUUGAGUUUAGUGAUGUAUAUACAGCACUUGGAAGUGAGGUUACUUUUAUUGAAGCUGUGGAUCAACUUAUGCCUGGAUUUGAUCCUGAAAUUAGCAAGUUGGCUCAAAGAGUUCUUAUAAAUCCGCGGAACAUAGACUAUCAUACUGGAGUUUUUGCAAAUAAGAUCACUCCUGCAAGGGAUGGAAAACCUGUCUUGAUUGAGCUUAUUGAUGCAACGACUUUGGAACCAAAGGACACUUUGGAGGUUGACACUGCAUUAAUUGCAACUGGAAGGGCUCCAUUCACACAAGGUCUUGGAUUGGAAAAUAUUGACGUGGUAACACAGCGUGGUUUUGUUCCUGUGGAUGAGCGUAUGCAAGUAAUGGAUGCAAAUGGCAAACUGGUACCUCAUUUAUACUGUAUUGGUGAUGCAAAUGGCAAGAUGAUGCUUGCUCAUGCUGCCAGUGCACAAGGAAUUUCAGUGGUUGAACAAGUCACUGGAAGAGAUCAUGUGGUCAAUCAUUUAAGUAUCCCAGCUGCUUGUUUCACUCAUCCUGAAAUCAGCAUGGUUGGAUUGACAGAGGUAUAACAGAGCUUUUGUUUGAUGUGUCAUUCACUGCAAAAGAUACUACGAUGAAUGAAUUCUCCUUCAUAAGUGUGCCUCAAGCAAGGGCGAAAGGUGUAGAAGAGGGAUUUGAAGUAAGUGUUGCCAAAACAAGUUUUAAAGCUAACACAAAGGCCCUAGCAGAAAAUGAAGGGGAGGGACUCGCCAAGUUGAUAUACAGACCUGACAAUGGGGAGAUACUAGGAGUUCAUAUUUUUGGCUUGCAUGCAGCUGAUCUCAUCCAUGAAGCUUCCAAUGCAAUAGCUUUAGGGACAUGUAUUCAGGACAUAAAAUUUGCAGUUCAUGCACAUCCAACUUUGUCUGAGGUUCUUGAUGAGUUAUUUAAAUCAGCAAAGGUUAAAGCACCAGCUUCUAGCCCAGUAAGUGAACCAGUUGCAGUCUAAUCUUCCUGAACAAACUAUAAAUUUUUGAAGAAAUUUGCUUGUACUAGGGACAUCCAAAAUAUUACACAUCUUCAGGCGGAAGACACGAGCAGAUUCCUCUAAAAGAAGGGAAACGUUUGAGGGAGAUCAAUAACGGCCUGAUAAUGGAUAUCCGCCGAAGGUUACAUGUAUUGGUAUCUUUUUUACUUGAUAUUUUUAUUGCCUGUCAAAGAUGCUUAUAUUAUUUGUUAUUGUAUUUUUUAAGCUAGUUUGCUUUUCCUAAUUAUAGUCAAUGAGAGAGGCCUUUGAGAGUGGCAUAUUUUU